rnacentral:lncRNA from 1 species
UCCAAAGAGCAAAGGGAAUAACUCGCCUUUCUGCCAGAGUCGCCACCUUUGGGAAGCGGCUCUGGUUUGGGUGAGUCCCUGGCUGCCCCGCAGGAGCCGGGUGGCCACGGCCUUGGCGUCCCUGGGCCUUGACCGCCCACCGCCAGCCCUGUCCACACUGCUCCUGCGAGCGGCGGGCCCGGGAAGGAAGAGUUAACCAGAAAUGGAGCGGCGCAGCUCCGGGGCAGGCAGCCUCGCUGCAGAACCAAGCAGCGUUCGUGCAAAGGUGUCUAAAUGUGCUUUUGCUUGGAAUCCAAGGCCAGACCAAGUAGACGGCAAGUUUUGGAGUAGAGGGAACAACUCCAGAGGUGGCCAACUUGGGGAAGGAGGAGCAGCAUUUCUGUGUGGAUUCUUUCAUUCACUAAGACCCUGACGCAGAAGCCACCCAAAGAGCCUAGACUGUGAGUCGAAGUCAUACGCUUAGGCUCAGCCCUUCUGUGCUGUGUCUCCUGUCCCAGUCAGGAGUAAACAUCUGUGUGCGAGAGGUCCUGUUUCCUAAUUUGUGGCAACGGGUUCCUCCGAAUAAUUAUAUUCAAAAUAAGUUCUGUGACGGGAGCAGAAUUUGAAGGCAGUAUUGAAAUGAGUGCCCUGGCUUUGUUCCCUGCUGGCUUCCUGCCAGUGAGGUGGGGCUGCGAGACCAGUUUCUGAAACCACGGCCCACAACACACAGCCAGGUGUUGACACAGAUUUCAUGUGUUCUCGCUCUUUUUUUAAAAAAAUUGAAAUAUAAUUGAUUUACAACGUUGUGUUCAUUUCAGGUGUACAGGAGUGAUUCAGUUAUACGUGUAUAUAUUUAUGUAUUCUUCAUUUAAAAAUUAACAAAUAAUUAUUUAUUUUGGCUGUACUGGGUAUUCACUGCUGCACACGAGCUUUCUCGAGUUGCGGUGCACGGGCUUCUCAUUUCGGUGGGUUUUUGGUGCGGAGCACAGGCUCUAGGGCUUGAGGGCUCUAGAGCACGGGCUCAGUAUUGUGGCCACAAACUUAGUUGCCCUGUACUAUAUGGGACCUUUCCCACCCAGGGAUCGAACUGGUGUCCCCUGCUUUGCAAGGUAGGUUCUUCACCACUGGACCACCAGGGAAGCCCUAUAUAGUCUUUUUUUAGGUUCUUUUCCAUUACAAGAGAUUGAGUAUAGUUUCCUGUGCUAUAGUUAUCUACUUUAUAUAUAUAAAUGUAUAAAUUUUAACCCCAAACUCCUAAUUUACCCCUCCCCACUUUGACCUUUGAUAACCAUGUUUGUUUUUUAUGUCUGUGAGUCUGUUUCUGUUCUGUAAGUAAGUUCACCUGUAUCACGUUUUUAGAUUCCGUAUAUAUCACAUGUGUUCUUCUGCCACAUCAUAGAGCCCUGACCCGGGCCCAUCCUGCAGACAGCAUC